GACGAACGCUGGCGGCGUGCUUAACACAUGCAAGUCGAACGGAAAGGCCCUGCUCUUGUGGGGUGCUCGAGUGGCGAACGGGGGAGUAACACGUGUGUAACCUGUCCUUGACUUUGGGAUAACUUCAGGAAACUGGGGCUAAUACCGGAUAGGAGCUCCUGCUGCAUGGUGGGGGUUGGAAAGUUUCGGCGGUUGGGGAUGGACUCGCGGCUUAUCGGCUUGUUGGUGGGGUAGUGGCUUACCAAGGCUUUGACGGGUAGCCGGCCUGGGAGGGGGACCGGCCACAAUGGGACUGAGAUACGGACCAGACUCCUACGGGAGGCAGCGGUGGGAAAUAUUGCGCAAUGGGCGGAAGCCUGAUGCGGCAGCGCCGCGUGCGGGAUGACGGCCUACGGGUUGUAAACCGCUUUCGCAUGUGACGAAGCGUGAGUGACGGUAAUGGGUAAAAAAGCACCGGCUAACUACGUG
rnacentral:rRNA from 1 species